rnacentral:rRNA from 1 species
UAACACGUAGGAGGCAAGCGUUAUCCGGAUUUACUGGGCGUAAAGCGCGUGUAGGCGGCUCGGAUAGUUGGAUGUGAAAGCUCCUGGCUUAACUGGGAGAGGUCGUUCAAUACUUCCGGGCUCGAGAGUGGUAGAGGGAGGUGGAAUUCCGAGUGUAGUGGUGAAAUGCGUAGAUAUUCGGAGGAACACCAGUGGCGAAAGCGGCCUCCUGGACCAUUUCUGACGCUCAGACGCGAAAGCUAGGGUAGCAAACGGGAUUAGAGACCCCGGUAGUCCUAGCUGUAAACGAUGUAGACUUGGCGUCGGCGGGUUCAAAUCCGUCGGUGCCGCAGCUAACGCGAUAAGUCUACCGCCUGGGGACUACGGCCGCAAGGUUAAAACUCAAAUGAAUUGACGG